rfam:Microcoleus sp. PCC 7113, complete genome.
AGGAGCCGUGUGAUGCGAAAGUAUCAAGCACGGUUUUGGAGAGCGGCGGCUCUCGUGAGGGAGUCGCCGACUUUAAU